rnacentral:rRNA from 1 species
GUGAGGAAUAUUGCACAAUGGGGGAAACCCUGAUGCAGCGACGCCGCGUGAAGGAUGACGGUCUUCGGAUUGUAAACUUCUGUUAAGUGGGAAGAAAGUAUUGCUUUUAAUAGAAGCAAGAGAUGACGGUACCACUAGAGAAAGCACCGGCUAAAUUUGUGCCAGCAGCCGCGGUAAUACAAGUGGUGCAAGCGUUAUUCGGAAUCAUUGGGCGUAAAGGGUACGUAGACGGCGUGCUAAGUUAGUUGUUAAAUCUCUCGGCCUAACCGAGAUCCAGCAAUUAAUACUGGCGUGCUAGAGGGUGAGAGAGAGGAGUGGAAUUCUCGGAGUAGCGGUAAAAUGCGUAGAUAUCGAGAGGAACACCGAUGGCGAAGGCAGCUCCUUGGCUCAUUCCUGACGUUGAGGUACGAAAGCGUGGGUAGCAAACAGGAUUAGAUACCCGAGUAGUCC